CAAUAGCGUAUAUUUAAGUUGUUGCAGUUAAAAAGCUCGUAGUUGGAUUUUGGGUGGGACGCAGCGGUCUCGCAUUGCGUUUGUACUGCUGCAGCCCUCCUUCUUGCCGGGGGCGGCCUCUCGGACUUCACUGUCUGGGGGUCAGAAUCGGCGAUGUUACUUUGAGUAAAUUAGAGUGUUCAAAGCAAGCUUACGCUCUGAAUAUAAUAGCAUGGGAUAACACGACAGGACUCUGGCCUAUCGUGUUGGUCUAUAGGACCAGAGUAAUGAUUAAGAGGGACAGUCGGGGGCAUUCGUAUUCCGUUGUCAGAGGUGAAAUUCUUGGAUUUACGGAAGACGAACAUCUGCGAAAGCAUUUGCCAAGGAUGUUUUCAUUGA
rnacentral:rRNA from 1 species